AUUGAACGCUGGCGGCAGGCCUAACACAUGCAAGUCGAACGAGUGGCGGACGGGUGAGUAAUGUCUGGGAAACUGCCUGAUGGAGGGGGAUAACUACUGGAAACGGUAGCUAAUACCGCAUACCAUCAGAUUUGCCCAGAUGGGCGUAGCUUGUGGGGGGGGUAACGGCUCACCAAGGCGGAGAUCCCUAGCUGGUCUGAGAGGAUGACCAGCCACACGGGAACUGAGCAACGGUCCAGACGCCUACGUGAGGCAGCAGUGGGGAAGAUGCGACAAGGGGCGAAAGCCUGAUCAAGCCAGGCCGCGUGUGUGAAGAAGGUCUUCGGAUUGUAAAGCACUUUAAGUUGGGAGGCGGUACCAACAGAAUAAGCACCGGCUAACUUCGUGCCAGCAGCCGCGGUAAUUC
rnacentral:rRNA from 1 species